GAAUACGUUCCCGGGCUUGUACACACCGCCCGUCACACCAUGGAAGUUGGCCACGCCCGAAGCCGUUACUCCAACCCUCGGGAGGAGGACGUCGAAGGUGGGGCUGAUGACUGGGGUGAAGUCGUAACAAGGUAUCCGUACCGGAAGGUGCGGAUGGAUCACCUCCUAA
rnacentral:rRNA from 1 species